AAAUGAAUUGACGGGGGCCCGCACAAGCGGUGGAGUAUGUGGUUUAAUUCGAAGCAACGCGCAAAACCUUACCAGCCCUUGACAUGGUGAUUAAGGAGAUGAGAGAUCAUUUCUGUCGGUUCGGCCGGAUCACACACAGGUGCUGCAUGGCUGUCGUCAGCUCGUGUCGUGAGAUGUUGGGUUAAGUCCCGCAACGAGCGCAACCCUCAUCGUUAGUUGCUAACAGGUAUGGCUGAGCACUCUAGCGAAACUGCCGGUGACAAACCGGAGGAAGGUGGGGAUGACGUCAAGUCCUCAUGGCCCUUAUGGGCUGGGCUACACACGUACUACAAUGGUGGUGACAGUAGGUUGCGAAAGGGAAACCUGGAGCCAAUCCUCAAAAGCCAUCUCAGUUCAGAUUGUCCGCUGCAACUCGCGGACAUGAAGUCGGAAUCGCUAGUAAUCGUAGAUCAGCAUGCUACGGUGAAUACGUUCUCGGGCCUUGUACACACCGCCCGU
rnacentral:rRNA from 1 species